GACGUAGGGCGCGAGCGUUGUCCGGAUUUAUUGGGCGUAAAGAGCUCGUAGGCGGCUUGUCGCGUCGUUUCGUGAAAACCUGCAGCUCAACUGCAGGCUUGCGGGUCGGAUAACGGGCAGGCUGGAGUUCGGUAGGGGAGACUGGAAUUCCUGGUGUAGCGGUGAAAUGCGCAGACUAUCAGGAAGAACACCCGUGGCGAAGGCGGUUCUCUGGGACGGUACUGACGC
rnacentral:rRNA from 1 species